GGCGAACGCUGGCGGCAGGCCUAACACAUGCAAGUCGAACGAACCUUUCGGGGUUAGUGGCGGACGGGUGAGUAACACGUGGGAACGUUCCUUUAGGUUCGGAAUAACUCAGGGAAACUUGUGCUAAUACCGAAUGUGCCCUUCUGGGGAAAGAUUUAUCGCCUUUAGAGCGGCCCGCGUCUGAUUAGCUAGUUGGUUGAGGUAAUGGCUCACCAAGGCGACGAUCAGUAGCUGGUCUGAGAGGAUGAUCAGCCACAUUGGGACUGAGACGCGGCCCAAACUCCUACGGGAGGCAGCAGUGGGGAAUCUUGCGCAAUGGGCGAAAGCCUGACGCAGCCAUGCCGCGUGAAUGAUGAAGGUCUUAGGAUUGUAAAAUUCUUUCACCGGGGACGAUAAUGACGGUACCCGGAGAAGAAGCCCCGGCUAACUUCGUG
rnacentral:rRNA from 1 species